UGACACACAUUUGAGUACUUUUGUAAAUGGAGAGUUUGGUGAUUUUGGUUAUGUGGCUCCUGAAUAUACAAAAACUUUGGUCGCUACGCCUAAAGGCGAUGUUUUUAGCUUUGGAACUAUACUUCUCGAGUUGGUAACCGGUGAAAGACCUGCACAUGUCGCUAAAGCUCCUGAAACUUUUAAAGGAAAUCUAGUAGAAUGGAUCGCCGAGCUUUCAAGCAACUCACAACUCCACGAUGCCAUCGACGAAUCGCUAGUUGACAAGGGUGAUGAUAACGAGCUUUUCCAAUUUUUGAAGGUUGCGUGCAACUGCGUUACACUGGUCCCAAAGGAGAGGCCUACCAUGUUUGAAGUAUAUCAGUUUUUAAGAGCCAUUGGGGGUAAGUACAAUUUUGCAUCUGAGGAUGAAAUAUUGGUACCUGAAGAUAUUGGUAAUACUGAUAACAUGGUGGAACUUAUUGUUGCAAGAGAAGGAAAUAAUUGAAAAAAGGUAUGCAAGAUAUAUGUAGGGUAUAUGUAAUAAUCAGUUUCUAUAUGUAAUUAUCUGGUUCUUAGUUUGUUUGUCCUAAAAUAAAUGUUAGCUUUUUAGUAUAUAGUUUGAGGAUCUAAAUCCAGUACUGUGCUAUUGAUAUUGAAAUGUUGAUAUAAGAUUAUCAAUCAUGGAUUUUAUAUAGUUGAGUUAUUUCUUUCUAUCCUUAUUUUAUGAUCCCUAUUGUAAUACUAUUAUGUAUGAUACAAACUUUUCAAUUGUAAAUUUGUUUAAGUUGUUAGGUGAAUUCCUUGUUCUCAUACCGUUUGUUAUUUCAUGAGCCACCCCCACUCUCUCUAGGUUGAUAGUUUGAAGCACUUGUCUUAUUUAUCCAUCAACGAGAAGUGGUUUAGGGCAAUUUUGUGGCCCAAGAAAUCACCUCUAGAAAUUGAUCUGUUACAAAAUUACAUGUCUUAAGUUUUGUUUGCAGUUUGUCGUAGAAUUAUAUUUUAAAUCUGAGUUUGGUCUUGAUAAAAAUAAUGUAUAAUUAAUUAGUUUACUUAAAAAUAUAUUUUAUUUUAAUAUUUUUGAUUAAUUAAUUGAUAUAUUUUUAAAUUAAUUAACGAAUUAUUAUGUCAAUGAAAUUAAAUUCUAUUUUAAUAUUUAAUAUGAAAUUUUUAAGAAUAUGAUUUUAUGAUAUACUACUUCAAUUCUAUUUCAUAAUAAUACAUUUAAAUAUAUCAAAAGUUAAAGAAAGUUAAUAUAUUUGAAUUACUAAAAGUUCAGUAUCUAACAAAAGAUCAAUAUUUUAUAUAAUAAUUAUAAUAGUAAUAAAAAAUAUUAUUUAUAUAUUUUAAAUAGGUUGAUAUUUUUAAAUAGUCUAACUAGGUAUGACAACGGGACGAAGCGGGACUAUUUUGUCUUCCCACCCUGCAUCCGUCCUUAUUUCUUAUCGAAUGUGAAAUUUUAAACCUUCGUCCUUGCUUGCGACAUGGUUCAGGUUUUUCCGCUUGCACCCACACUCAUUUAUAUAUAUAAAAUAAUAAAUUUAAAAGUUAUAUUUAUAAAAUUAAAUACAUCCUGCUGCUGGUGAUUGCACGCUCGACUGGCCUUUGAGGCUCAAAAUUGCAAUCGGAGCUGCCAAAGGAUUAGCAUGGCUUCAUCAUAGCUGCAAUCCUCGUAUCAUUCACCGAAACAUAAGCUCAAAGUGCAUCUUGUUGGACGCAGAUUUCGAGCCCAAAAUUUCCGAUUUUGGCCUUGCCAGAUUGAUGAAUCCACUUGACACACAUUUGAGUACUUUUGUAAAUGGAGAGUUUGGUGAUUUUGGUUAUGUGGCUCCUGAAUAUACAAAAACUUUGGUCGCUACGCCUAAAGGCGAUGUUUUUAGCUUUGGAACUAUACUUCUCGAGUUGGUAACCGGUGAAAGACCUGCACAUGUCGCUAAAGCUCCUGAAACUUUUAAAGGAAAUCUAGUAGAAUGGAUCGCCGAGCUUUCAAGCAACUCACAACUCCACGAUGCCAUCGACGAAUCGCUAGUUGACAAGGGUGAUGAUAACGAGCUUUUCCAAUUUUUGAAGG
rnacentral:lncRNA from 1 species